rnacentral:rRNA from 1 species
UACGGAGGGUGCGAGCGUUGUCCGGAAUCAUUGGGCGUAAAGGGCGCGUAGGUGGCCCGGUCAGUCUUUGGUGAAAGCGCGGGGCUCAACCCUGCGUCGGCCAGGGAUACUGCCGCGGCUCGAGCACUGUAGAGGCAGGCGGAAUUCCGGGUGUAGCGGUGGAAUGCGUAGAGAUCGUAAGGAAGGCCAGUGGCGAAGGCGAGUUCCUGGACAGUGACUGACGCUGAGGCACGAAGGCCAGGGGAGCAAACGGG